UUAAAGUCUAACCUGCCCACUGAAAAAUUUAAAUGGCCGCAGUAUUCUAACUGUGCAAAGGUAGCAUAAUCAUUAGUCUUUUAAUUGAAGGCUGGAAUGAAUGGUUGGACGAAAUAUUAACUGUUUCAUAUAAAUUUUUAAUAAAAUUUUAUUUUUUAGUUAAAAAGCUAAAAUAAAUUUAAAAGACGAGAAGACCCUAUAAAUCUUUAUAUUUUUAUUUAUUUUAAUUAUAAAGAUUAUUUUUAUUAUAAUAAAUAAAAAUAUUUUAUUGGGGUGAUAUUAAAAUUUAAAAAACUUUUAAUUUUUAAAACCAUUGAUUUAUGAAUAUUUGAUCCAUUAAUAAUGAUUAAAAAUUUAAGUUACUUUAGGGAUAACAGCGUAAUUUUUUUGGAGAGUUCAUAUCGAUAAAAAAGAUUGCGACCUCGAUGUUGGAUUAAGAUAUAAUUUUGGGUGUAGCCGUUCAAAUUUUAAGUCUGUUCGACUUUUAAAUUCUUACAUGAUCUGAGUUCAAACCGGUGUAAGCCAGGUUGGUUUCUAUCUUUAAAAUAUUAAAAUAUUUUAGUACGAAAGGACCAAAUAUUUAAAUAAUUAUAUUUUUAAUAAGAAUAUUAUUAAUAUAA
rnacentral:rRNA from 1 species